AGUGGCGAACGGGUGAGUAACGCGUGGAUGAUCUACCUACGAGAUGGGGAUAACUAUUAGAAAUAGUAGCUAAUACCGAAUAAAGUCAAUUAAUUUGUUAAUUGAUGAAAGGAAGCCUUUAAAGCUUCGCUUGUAGAUGAGUCUGCGUCUUAUUAGCUAGUUGGUAGGGUAAAUGCCUACCAAGGCGAUGAUAAGUAACCGGCCUGAGAGGGUGCACGGUCACACUGGAACUGAGAUACGGUCCAGACUCCUACGGGAGGCAGCAGCUAAGAAUCUUCCGCAAUGGGCGAAAGCCUGACGGAGCGACACUGCGUGAAUGAAGAAGGUCGAAAGAUUGUAAAAUUCUUUUAUAAAUGAGGAAUAAGCUUUGUAGGAAAUGACGAAGUGAUGACGUUAAUUUAUGAAUAAGCCCCGGCUAAUUACGUGCCAGCAGCCGCGGUAAUACGUAAGGGGCGAGCGUUGUUCGGGAUUAUUGGGCGUAAAGGGUGAGUAGGCGGAUAUAUAAGUCUAUGCAUAAAAUACCACAGCUCAACUGUGGAACUAUGUUGGAAACUAUAUGUCUAGAGUCUGAUA
rnacentral:rRNA from 1 species